rnacentral:rRNA from 1 species
CAAUCGAACCCGGAGAUAGCUGGUUCUCUCCGAAAUAGCUUUAGGGCUAGCCUUGUAUUAGAUUACUGGAGGUAAAGCACUGAAUAGGCUAGGGGCCGAGAGGUUACCGAACCUUAUCAAACUCAGAAUGCCAGAUAAUUGAUGUACAGGAGUCAGACAGUGUGAGAUAAGUUUCAUUGUCGAAAGGGAAAGAGCCCAGACCCACAGCUAAGGUCCCAAAAUAUAGUUAAGUGGAAAAGGAUGUGGGGGUGCACAGACAACCAGGAUGUUGGCUCAGAAGCAGCCAUUCAUUAAAAGAGUGCGUAAUAGCUCACUGGUCGAGUGCCCCUGCGCCGAAGAUUUAACGGGGCUAAACUAUAUACCGAAGCUUGGGAUGCAGUAAUGCAUGGUAGGAGAGCGUUGUAUGCGGGGUGAAGUCAGAGCGAAAGCGCUGGUGGACUGCAUACAAGUGAGAAUGCCGGAAUGAGUAGCGAGAAAUAUGUGAGAAUCAUAUUGGCCGAAAGUCUAAGGUUUUAGGAGGAAGGUUCGUCCGCUCCUAGUAAGCCGGGAGCUAAGGUGAGGCCGAAAGGCGUAGCCGAUGCACAUACGGUAGAAAUUCCGUAACCGUCGAAGUAUUUAAGCAAAGGGACACUUUGGGAAGGUACAAGCCAGGCGUUGGUAGCCCUGGCCGUAAGGGACUGAAAAUUAGUAGGGAAGUGUACUGGAACAGAGGCGAGAAAAGCUUUGUGUAUAUACAAGACGCCCGUACCGCAAACCGACACAGGUAGAUGGGAAGAGAAUUCUAAGGCCAACGGGAGAAGGGUUGUUAAGGAACUCGGCAAGUUGACCCCGUAACUUCGGAAUAAGGGGUGCUCAUGAAAGUGAGCCGCAGAGAAUAGGCCCAGGCAACUGUUUACCAAAAACACAGGUUUGUGCUAAAUCGAAAGAUGACGUAUACGAGCUGACGCCUGCCCGGUGCUGGAAGGUUAAGAGGAGAUGUGCAAGCAUUGAAUCGAAGCCCCAGUAAACGGCGGCCGUAACUAUAACGGUCCUAAGGUAGCGAAAUUCCUUGUCAGGUAAGUUCUGACCCGCACGAAUGGCGUAAUGAUUUGGGCACUGUCUCAACAGCCCGCCCGGCGAAAUUGUAGUACCGGUGAAGAUGCCGGUUACCCGCGACAAGACGGAAAGACCCCAUGGAGCUUUACUGUAGCUUAAUAUUGGAUUUUGAUAUUUCAUGUACAGAAUAGGUGGGAGACUGAGAAGCAGAGGCGUCAGCUUCUGUGGAGUCGCCUUUGGGAUACCACUCUUGAAGUGUUGAAAUUCUAACCUGCGGCCGUGAAACCGGUCGGGGGACAUUGUUAGGUGGGCAGUUUGACUGGGGCGGUCGCCUCCAAAAAGGUAUCGGAGGCGCUCAAAGGUUCGCUCAGCAUGGACGGAAACCAUGCCCUUGAGUGUAAACGCAUAAGCGAGCCUAACUGCGAGACGGACAGGUCGAGCAGUAACGAAAGUUGGAGUUAGUGAUCCGGCGGUAUGUGAGUGGAAAUGCCGUCGCUCAACGGAUAAAAGCUACCCUGGGGAUAACAGGCUGAUCUCCCCCAAGAGUCCACAUCGACGGGGAGGUUUGGCACCUCGAUGUCGGCUCAUCACAUCCUGGGGCUGUAUUCGGUCCCAAGGGUUCGGCUGUUCGCCGAUUAAAGUGGUACGCGAGCUGGGUUCAGAACGUCGUGAGACAGUUCGGUCCCUAUCUGUCGUGGGCGCAGGAUAUUUGAAGGAAGCUGUCCCUAGUACGAGAGGACCGGGAUGGACGCACCUCUGGUGCACCAGUUGUCACGCCAGUGGCACAGCUGGGCAGCUAAGUGCGGAACGGAUAAACGCUGAAAGCAUCUAAGCAUGAAGCCGCUCCUGAGAUAAGAUAUCCCACUGAGUCAAUCAGGUAAGACCCCUUGAAGACUACAAGGUUGAUAGGCUGUAGGUGUAAGUGUCGUGAGGCAUUGAGCUUGACAGUACUAAUCGGUCGAGGGCUUGACCAA